CAUUGUCAACUCCACUUGAAAUAGACAGUUGAAAUUAGACGAACAAAAACUAAAAUGAAAGUCAUCAUCUUCGCAAUUUUGCUUGCUGUAGUUUGCGCUGUUACCCUUACUGUAGCCUGUCCAACAGACGGUACCGUCGGCGGAGAUGCUACGAAUACUACUCGAGGCGGAGCAGAUAUUGUGGAAACACCUUUGUCUUCUGAGCAACAGCAGAAAUUUCAAAAUAUUUCUGAAGGAGCCCAACAAUAUAAUCGCUAAACCUGUGAAUAAUGCUUUAAUUUCGUAAGACCUUUGCGAUGCUCCCAAUACUUGAACAUCUUGAUAGCAAACUGGAAUUAUUAAAUUAAAUGUGAAGUAAAUGUUAGAGUUUUGCAGAAUUGCAAUGGAAAAUCCAAUUUUGACGCACAGUUUACUGAAUUUCUUUUAUCGCACAGAAUUGUACACGUUUUUAUGCAACAUUUUUAUUGAAAUCUAUUGAAAUAAAAGAAA